UACGAAGGGGGCUAGCGUUGUUCGGAAUUACUGGGCGUAAAGAGCUCGUAGGCGGUUCGUCACGUCGGCUGUGAAAUCCCGAGGCUCAACCUCGGGUCUGCAGUCGAUACGGGCGGACUUGAGUACUGCAGGGGAGACUGGAAUUCCUGGUGUAGCGGUGAAAUGCGCAGAUAUCAGGAGGAACACCGGUGGCGAAGGCGGGUCUCUGGGCAGUAACUGACGCUGAGGAGCGAAAGCGUGGGGAGCGAACAGG
rnacentral:rRNA from 1 species